rnacentral:rRNA from 1 species
GACGAACGCUGGCGGCGUGCCUAACACAUGCAAGUCGAACGAACGAGACAGCGCUUGCUUUCUCGAUCGAGUGGCGCACGUGUGAGUAACGCGUGUGGAACCUGCCUCAACGAGGGGGACAACAGUUGUAAACGACUGCUAAUACCGCUUAUUCCCACGACCCGGCAUCGGGUAGAGGGAAAAGGAGCAAUCCGCUUUGAGAUGGCGUCGCUCCCCAUUCGCUAGUUGGUGAGGUAACGGCCCACCAAGGCGACGAUCGGUAGCCGGACUGAGAGGCUGAACGGCCACAUAGGGACUGAGGCACGGCCGAGACGGCGACGAGUGGAAGAAGUGGGGAAUACUGAAGAAGGGGGGAAGCGCGGAUGAAGCGACGCCGCGUGGAGGAAGAAGGUCUUCGGAGUGAAAACGCCUGUUGUUGAGGAAGAUAAUGACGGUACUCGAAGAAGAAGUGACGGCUAACUACGUG